CUUCAGAGGAUACCAGGCUGAGGAUCAAUGGGGAUUCAGUUCUUACUUCCGGACUUUAUAUUUUCUAAGGCUUAUGGAUUUACGCCUUUAUAUUUCCUAAGGCUUACGGUUAUACUAUAGUGUUACGUAGUGUUGUCGGGAGCAUUUAUUGGUGCAGCAGUUACUUGCAUCCUGAGUGUUGCAGGGUGUGGCUGUUACUCUGCACUCGUGUACCCAGGCAGGUUUUUACACACCUUUUCAGGCACUUGUGUACCCAGGCAGGUUUUUACACACCUUUUCAGGCACUUGUGUACCCAGGCAGGUUUUUACACACCUUUUCAGGCACUUGUGUACCCAGGCAGGUUUUUACACACCUUUUCAGGCACUUGUGUACCCAGGCAGGUUUUUACACACCUUUUCAGGCACUUGUGUACCCAGGCAGGUUUUUACACACCUUUUCAGGCAAGGUAUUUUGCUUUCAUAUCUUCACCUUAGUUUCAGGAUGUCAUUUUCACCUUUUGUAGAUUUUUUGUAUAUUGCAAACAUUUAUUUUACUAAACUUCUACAAAUUUUGGUGAUUUUCCUUCCAUACUCUGUCUUUCACUACAGUGGUAAUAUAUGUAUAUCUCCAUAGUAAAACUCUAAUGCUAAUAA